rnacentral:rRNA from 1 species
AUCUAUGGCCAUGCCACCCUGAAUGCACCUGAUCUUGUCUGAUCUCAGAAGCUAAGCAGGGUCAGGCCUGGAUAGUACUUGGAUGGGAGACCACCUGUGAAUACCAGGUGUUAUAGGCA